rnacentral:rRNA from 1 species
CUUGGUCAUUUAGAGGAAGUAAAAGUCGUAACAAGGUCUCCGUUGGUGAACCAGCGGAGGGAUCAUUACCGAGUUUACAACUCCCAAACCCCUGUGAACAUACCUAUACGUUGCCUCGGCGGAUCAGCCCGCGCCCCGUAAAACGGGACGGCCCGCCGCAGGACCCAUAAACCCUGAAUUUUAUUGUAACUUCUGAGUUUAAAAAACAAAUAAAUCAAAACUUUCAACAACGGAUCUCUUGGUUCUGGCAUCGAUGAAGAACGCAGCAAAAUGCGAUAAGUAAUGUGAAUUGCAGAAUUCAGUGAAUCAUCGAAUCUUUGAACGCACAUUGCGCCCCCUGGUAUUCCGGGGGGCAUGCCUGUUCGAGCGUCAUUUCACUACUCAAGCCUCGCUUGGUAUUGGGCGACGCGGUCCGCCGCGCGCCUCAAAUCGACCGGCUGGGUCUUCUGUCCCCUCAGCGUUGUGGAAACUAUUCGCUAAAGGGUGCCACGGGAGGCCACGCCGAAAAACAAACCCAUUUCUAAGGUUGACCUCGGAUCAGGUAGGGAUACCCGCUGAACUUAAGCAUAUCAAUAAGCGGAGGA